rnacentral:rRNA from 1 species
UGAGUGGCGGACGGGUGAGUAACGCGUGGGCAACCUGGCCUGUACAGGGGGAUAACACUUAGAAAUAAGGUGCUAAUACCGCAUAACGGGGGAAGCCGCAUGGCUUUUCCCUGAAAACUCCGGUGGUACAGGAUGGGCCCGCGUCUGAUUAGCCAGUUGGCAGGGUAACGGCCUACCAAAGCGACGAUCAGUAGCCGGCCUGAGAGGGCGGACGGCCACACUGGGACUGAGACACGGCCCAGACUCCUACGGAAGGCAGCAG